rnacentral:rRNA from 1 species
UACAGAGGUCUCAAGCGUUGUUCGGAUUCAUUGGGCGUAAAGGGUGCGUAGGUGGCGCGGUAAGUCGGGUGUGAAAUCUCGGAGCUUAACUCCGAAACUGCAUUCGAUACUGCCGUGCUUGAGGACUGGAGAGGAGACUGGAAUUUACGGUGUAGCGGUGAAAUGCGUAGAUAUCGUAAGGAAGACCAGUGGCGAAGGCGGGUCUCUGGACAGUUCCUGACGCUGAGGCACGAAGGUCAGGGGAGCAAACGGG